rnacentral:rRNA from 1 species
GACGAACGCUGGCGGCGUGCUUAACACAUGCAAGUCGAACGGAGUUACGUAUGAAGUAUUUCGGUACGGACUAUGUAACUUAGUGGCGAACGGGUGAGUAACACGUGGGCAACCUGCCCUUAACCGGGGGAUAACAUUGUGAAAACAGUGCUAAUACCGCAUAACAGAGUAUCGGGCAUCCGAUAUUUUUAAAAGGAGCAAUCCGGUUUAGGAUGGGCCCGCGUCCAAUUAGCUAGUUGGUGAGGUAACGGCUCACCAAGGCUACGAUUGGUAGCCGAACUGAGAGGUUGAUCGGCCACAUUGGGACUGAGACACGGCCCAGACUCCUACGGGAGGCAGCAGUGGGGAAUAUUGGGCAAUGGGCGAAAGCCUGACCCAGCGACGCCGCGUGAAGGAUGAAGGUCUUCGGAUUGUAAACUUCUUUGAUCAGGGAAGAAAGAAAUGACGGUACCUGAAGAACAAGCCACGGCUAACUACGUGCCAGCAGCCGCGGUAAAACGUAGCGU